GGAAAGUCAGAUAUCCCAGUUUAACACUGGGACAUGAACGCAUCUUAAGUUUGCGGAUGUCGGUGAAGCUGGCAGUGUGAAAUGUGUCUCAAAAUUAUACACAUUUGUAAAUCAUAUCGUACGUGCACUUGCAACUGUUUUGAGGUUUUUCUCCAUAUAUAAAUAGUGACUGUAAAUGUAAGUUUAAAUCGUCUUACCUGUAAAACCUGCCGUCAUUGCCGGAAGUCAGUGUUUGGGCGCACACUUUAAUAACUGGGAGUGGGCGGGGGGGUUUCGGUGUAACUGAAAAGUAAAGUUUUACUUUCCUGUGUGGGACAUCAUCUGCUGUCUAGUCAGCAACAGAGGAAGAGUAUAUUUUCAGUUUUGAAAAAUAAAUGGAGAGGAAAAGAUCUGCGGAAGGGGAAGACCAAGAAGGCUGUGGAUUAAGGAAAAGAUGGAAGGCUGAAUAUAAUGAACCUUCUGAUGAUGAAGACGAGAAGGAGGAGGAGGAUCAAAAAACUUGGAGGACAGAAGGAAAACAGCUUUUGCCUGUAAUCUGUGGAACCACAGAGGGCAUCCUUGAUUGUGAGAAGCUGGAACAAGGUAAGUAAAUACAAUUAUCUGAGAAGCAUAAGCACAUUUCAUGGAAACCAUUAAACAAGAAAACACUUUAUACUCUUUGAAACUGUGCCCACAAAUAAAAAUCAUGUAUAUAAAAAAAUGGAACUUGACUUCAAUGAUCUGUAGUCAUCAGUUUCUCUCCAGCUGAAUCAAUGCAUGAUAGAUUAUGCAUUGGUGAUUCUGAAUUGCCUUCCCCCCAUCUCAUGAAAGCUGGGAAACCUUAUAGCAAUAAGGUUUCCCAUCAGUCAUUUGGGAAAAGUAAAUACAAACCUACAUUAAAAAAAAAUCUCUAAACCUUGGCUUGGAUUGCAGAUCAGGUGCGAAUGUUUUGAACAUCUUUAAGAAUUGAGAAAAAAAUAAAGAGAAAGCAUUUUCCUUUUGUUGUUCAAAUCUACAAUUUAAACAAUGUGCACUGUUUUAAAGAGGAUCAAAUGUUAACUUGUCAGAAGUUAACUUUAUUUUUAAGUGUUCUUUUCUACUGUCAUUUCAAUUUUCCUGUGUGUUUGGAUGAUCAAUUUAGGUAAGGCGUGUAUUGUGUAUGAAGGCAAAUGGUGUAAGCCCUCUAGGUUUGAGAAACUUGCAGGGAAAAGAUUGUGUAAAAAAUGGAAAGCAACUAUUUUCUAUGAUGAUCAACCUCUGGAGUAUUGGAUUAAGGUACUUUUUUUUCUUUGCAUUUCUAUUAAUCAAAGAAAAUCAGAUUUCACUAAAUAAACU
rnacentral:lncRNA from 1 species